ACAGGGACUCACAGGGACACGCUCCACCCGUAAGAUGUUUAUGUAACGUUUAUGGAAGGAGUCUCCGGUGUCAGCGCUCUGUAACAGUCCGAGGUAAAGCUGGAACCUCUCUGACAUGACGAGCUGAGUUUGUUUUGUCUUAUUAUCUUAAAGAGAGAGAAAAAAGAGAGAGCGGUGAGGGAAAGGCUGUUUAUAGCUGCCAUAACGUACAGUAAGUGAGGACAGGAACGCGUAAAUGUACUUAUAAACGGAUAAAAACCAAGACGCUCGUUCAUUAAUAUACAAAGAAUUGUAAUCACUGGGAAGUUGUUGUGGUGUAAGUAGAGUAGAAGACUCUGAGACGUCCUGUUAAAGGAAGAUGAUCAACUUCUGCGUGAGUACGUCUGCUCCAUGUUGAUUAUUUCCCUAUAACGGCACCACACCAUACAGUGUUUUAUUAUUAACACACUUUAUGACAGCGGUACAGCGGUCGUUACCAUGGAUACGCAUGAUUUCACGGCGUCACGAUAUUACCGAUUGUUCUUACCUUUCCAGCCCGACAUGUAAAUAAUAAGAAACGGUCUAAAAUAUCGUCUAAUUAGACGUGUAGUUUGAACAGAGACCCUUUCUAGCUUCGUAUUGCACGAGAAAUCAAAUAUGGCAAAAAAAAAAAAAAAAACAAAGAAAAAGAACAAGAAGUUUCCAAACUCGAAAGCACCGACUGAACCAACAGUUUCUACAUACUUUAAGGAAUCCAUAAAAGCCGAGCCGCUCCUUCAGAUGUGCUCUCUAAAAGCUUCUGCGCUUUCAGUCUCCUGCCAUGCCGUCUCAACUUUAAUCCCAGGUAAAAGUUUAACCAAGACGCAACACUUUUUAAUGGAAUUUUUCAAACGUUAAAGCUCAUAUUUUAUAAUUGGCGCAGGAAAACUGACGGUUCCUUUUAAAACAGACGAGAAGAAAGCAGUAAGGUGGAUCUCAAUCUGACAACAUGGAAAGGGAUCAAAUAAAAUAAAUAAAUAAAAUAAAAUAAAAAAAGAUCAGUAGUGGGAGAAACCCAGAAACCGUCGACCGGUGUAAAUAAUUCAUUGGAUCCAGUUAGAGGAAAGUGAGAACUUCAAGCGGUGAGUGGGAUGUGAGUUCAGAAAGCACUCCCAGACUUUAGAGACUCCAUUCCAAGGUAAAAAAAAAAAAAAGUCUGUCAAGAAGAAUGGACCAAUUUUUGAUAGUUUAUACAGAGAUGUAGGAGAUGUGCUUCUCCGCUGCGAGGAGAGAAAUUCCAACGAGCAUACGGCAAAGAGAAACAUGUUCAAGAAACCACCAUGGCUAUUAAACGAAGCUCAUUAUACACAAGUAGAUUCUUAAACGUUCAGCAUGUUUGUAAUUAUUUUUAAAUACAACCAACUUUAAAGUUUUUAACCCUUUCAUGCAUAGUGCCAAAAGUUAUGGAUCAUCAAUUUAAGGUUGUUUUUAAGAUGUAAAUCACCUCAAAAUCAUUAGAGACCAUUCGCUGUAAUUUAACAAGAAUCGUUAUGCUGAUUGCUCUUGCUCUCUGGAUUGUUGGCCUUCUCGAUUUUUUGCGGAAAAAAAUCCCAAAUUAACUUUUAAUUUCUUUUUGGUCCGGAAUCCCGCUAUAUUUUGUUUGAAAACUGGAUUAUAUUUUUUUAUUUUAUGUCAGGUGUGAUGUUUUAUCCUUUUUUCACUCGUUGUAUUCCUAUACCUGUGCAAUCGGUUUACUUUUUAAUAUAAGUGAUAUUUAAGAAAAAUCCAGAAUUAUUUGACCUGCGGUCUUACGUAGCAAAAACAAUCAUACAAUCGAUGAUUAUUUUCAUAAAAUAUUUUAUGCAUGGAAUAUUUUAUUCUACUUUUCAUCCUGAGUUGGAUCAUCUAUGGAAAGACAUCAAAGAGAGAGAGAGAGAAUCCCAUAACAUAUACCCAUAUUGAUCAGGUGUUCACAUGUUAUUAGCGUAAUUAGCAUUGUCUUCCCCUCACACUAGGUGAGGUUCAUUCUAGGUGUUUCUCAUUCUAUUGCAUUGAAAUUAUUACACAGCUUAUUAAAGGAAUUCUGAUAAUUAGCGACUGUAGUAGUUAAAACACAGGGGUACAAUUGAUUAUGAUGUUAGCCGUACCCCACAGGCAGAGACACAGAUCAGACCACUGUUGGGUAUUUGUUUGAAUUUUCUUGGUUAGGAGUGUGAAAUUGACCCUCGCCAAUUCAGACAAGUCAGCGGGGAACGUUAUGACUUAAUAUUUCAUAUCUUAUAUAUCAAAGCCAGGAGAAAUUCCCCAUGUGGCGGAGGGAUCGGGACGAUAAAAUGUUGUCACGUCUUGUGAAAUGACAAGAAAUCUAUUUUAUUAUCUCGAGCACAAGUCGCUCGGCUGAAGAAAUUCUAUAACAACGGACGAACGGGGGAAAAUUCCUCUCGCUAAACUUAACCAACCGGUGUCUUCACUCAGCGCUUAAUAAGUGUUAUUAAAAGAAAAGCGGAUGUUACACAGCGAUAAACAGUCGGCUGUCCCAACAUUUUUGGAGUGCGUUGCAGUCGUCAGAUUUGAAACGGGUGUAUAUUCUCAAAAAUAAAUUACAUUCACAAAGUAAAACAUCAAAUAAUGUGUUGAUGAUGUGUUUUCAUUAUAGCACAGCGUGAACUGAAUGAUCAAACGACUCUUUUUAUUUAUUUAUUUAUUUAUUUUUGCAUUUUCCAUACUGUCCCGACUUUUCCAGAAUUGGCGUUGUAUAAUAGCUUAACGAUUGUGUGGGUGGCGAAGCUGGAUUCUUGAGAACAGGGGAUAUUCGGACAAUCAUCUCACUAAGAACAACUCUGUUGACCCCAGACAUGUUCUACUGUUUAUCCGUGUGCGUAUGGUUACAUUAAAUCCUGUCGAAUGUCCAUGAAACAAUUUCUCACUUCGUCUAUAGCAGCUAUAAACACUCGCUCCCUCACCAGAGUCUUUAUUUUGUCUGGCUUAAAGUCUUAAAAAUCGCAGCUUGUCGUGUUAUAGAGAAACCUCCUCGGUCCGGAAGAUGUGGGAAAACGUAACGUUACAGCUUCAUCUCUGACGGUUACAACGCGCUGACACUGGAGACUCCUUCCUUACACGUUCCAGUUGCAAUCACUGACUAUAAGCAGAAUAACACACUUCGUUCUGUGCUGUUAUAUGAAAAUAACCCACUUCAGGGGGGUAACGUUAACAUUAACGUUAACAUCCUGGCGUGGAUUGUUUUUGCAUCUCAGCACGACUCAAUAAAUAACAGUUUCCCUGCUUUCAAAAUCCCACUUCUUUCCACCCCGUUAUUCACUCACUGUGAACGUGGGUGGGCGUUUCGGGAUUUCCUCGGGGUUUGGACAGCUUAUUUUCCCGAACUAGAAGAGUGCCUUUACGACGCUCUGAACGCAUCAGAAUCCACGUGUGAUGAAAGCAUACAGCAGCACUGAGGAGAAAAAAACGCGACUUUAAUCAAAACAUGUCAGCCAUCAGCAGGACUGCUCAAGCCUCCGGUCGUGUCUUUCACCGCAUGGAUUUACGGCUAAGAGAGAAGUCCGAGCGUAAAAUGAUUCCCGCUGUGGCUGGGAGGAGAAGGCCGAGAAGAUUUCCCAAACUUUACAAGAAGCACUCCAAAAGCCUUCUCUCGCAACUGAUCAUCCUGAGCUCCUGCCACAGACAACACCAUGAAGAAUUUCCAGAUUGCUCAGAGACUUCGUGAGAGCAAAAGGUUAAACUCUCGGCCGCCCACACACACUCGAGAAUGAAGUGUGAUCCCACUCAGCUGUAUGAGAGCCGUGCUCCUGAGACCUUUUUUAUUGAGAACGAUUCCCCGCAAUCGACCGUACGCUUUGAUAACUGCUUAGAGAAAGAAGGAACAAAAGAAACGGAGAGAAAAUGACUGACCCUGGUUUGGACACGAGUGCAGUGUAGAUGACGAUAUGUGAGGACCGGAACACUGUGUGUCGUGCCGUUAUGUAAGGAAUAAUUGACGUCGGGACGUUGGACCAUUAUUCUGUAAUAAAACGACGGACCGGAGCCAAUUAAUCCGCUUGUCCCACACUUCCCACGCCUCAAGACGUUGUUCAGAUGUUUUAUUUCGAGACACUGGUCAGGUUUGUGUCCUUAAAACGCUCCUGUGUGUGGAACUAAUUUAUUGCGCAUCACAUCUCAAACCUCCGCGGCUAGUUCCAAAACGUCAUUUUAGAGCUAGAAACGGAGGCUGGAGCCACUGAUAUGCAGUUAUUGGAGAGAGAGAGAGAGAGAGAGAGACAGAGAGAGAGAGAGAGAGAGAGAGAGAGAGAGAGAGACAGAGAGCAAGAGCGAAAGUGAGAGAGAGAGAGCAAGAGAGAGAGCAAGAGAGAGUGAAAAAGAGAGAGAGAGCAAGAGAGAGAGAGAGCGAAAAAGAGAGAGAGAGAGAGAGCAAGAGAGAGAGAGAGAGAGCAAGAGAGAGAGAGAGUUUAGUUUUUUUUUUCCAUUUCAUACUGACAAUAUAAAUAAAUAAAUAAAUAAAUAAAUAAAUAAAUAUGGAUAAACCUACUUGUUCACAGGGUUUUUCGUUUUUUAUUACUGCAGAAAAUACAACGAAUAAAUAAAUAAAUAAAUAUUGAUACAUGUUCACCAGCUUUUCUGUCUCAUUACUGCAAUCACAUGUGCUCUCUCUCUCUCUCUCUCUCUCUCUCUCUCUCUCUCUCUUUUCUCGCUCUCUCCCUCUCUGCAUAUCAAUGGCUCGUGACUGCAUUACCACCUCGGGUGCGUGUUAUUUUUUGAAUAAUUCAGCACCCAGUCAUCGGUUAUUACUUCCUUAUUUCUGGAAAAUGGAAUUGGUCUGUCCUUGCGUUUGUUGUUAGCUCUGUGUGUGUGUGUGUGUGUGUGUGUGUGUGUGUGUGUGUGUGUGUGCUGUGACGGACAGCAGGCUAACUUUCCCGGCAAAGUGAUAUGGAACUGUAAUGCUGUCAAGACCCGACUGGAACUACUUUAGCUGUGCAUUUACUGAAAAAUAACCGCACACCUCAGAACGUCUGUCGGCCAAUCAGGAUGGAGAAUUCACCAGCGCUGGGGUAGAAAGUAAACUAAUCACCGACGGGGUGGUAAGUUGGUUUCGCGGACAUGCUACAUGGUUAACUGUAAUUGAGGAGUGAAACGCUUCGGGGUGUGUAAAUUACGAGCGGUCACUGAUUAUUUUCCUGUAACAGCACAACGCCGAGCGGUUUAUUCUUUACUGGGUGAAAGGUCAGCAGUCUGUUUAGUCCAUGUCAAUGAUUUCAGCAUCAACUGUUGCUGUCGUUGUAAGAUUUCGGUUCUUGUAGAGGAACGAGUAUUAUUCAUGAGAAAUACACAAACUGAGCAACACAGGAAUCAGUUCGGAGCCUGAAGGCACGCGACUCCUCGCUGCGACUCUGGAGAAAGUCAUUACGGUCUUGCGUAACAUCCCGUCUCUGAACUCUGGAAGAGCUUUUCCUCUUCCGUCUCUGUAAAUAUCGCGCUCCGAGGCAGCGCCGAUGCUGUGGAAUGCGCUCGGAAAGAGAUUUAGUCAUUUAAUUCAAUAGCGUUUCCUCUGAAACGUCUAAACCCAGUCGGGAUUAUUCAGAUCGAAUGAAAUCGGAGACGGAUGAGCAGAAAAAUAUACAGUACGGAUAUUAGAGCCGACAGUUUAUUUAGUCUGCUUUAAUCUCUCCAUCAGCCACGCUCUCAGUCCGACAUGUGAUGAGAUAAAGAUGGGGUUACUACGAGAAAAGGGUUCUCAAGCCGAGGCCGUGACCAGUGAUCAAAUUAACCAUGUGCAGGAAAAAACACCGAAAUCCCCUUUAACUCAACUGGGAAUUCCUGCUCAGGACACUGGGACGGUCUCCUCAACUCCCAGUUCCUCUGAGAUCAGCAAGUGACGCUGAAUCAACAUGGCCGCCCCAGCAGCAGCACACACAGCACUGCUUCCCUUUGAACCAGUUACACCAUGCACACUUUCUUUCGUUCUUUCUUUCUUUUUUCUUUCUUUCUUUCUUUCUCUUCCCCACCUUUUGAAACAUUCUUUCUUUCUAUCUUUCUUUCUUUCUUUCUUUCUUUACCCUUUCACCACUAUUUGCAACAUUCUUUCUUUCUUUCUUUCCUUCUUUCCCACCUUAUGUAACAGUAUUUCUUUCUAUCUUUCUUUCUUUCUUUCUCUACCCUUUCACCACCUUUUGUAACAUUCUUUCUUUCUUUCUUUCUUUCCCAUUUGUAACAUGCUUUCUUUCUUUCAUCUAUUCAUUCAUUCUUUCUUUCUUUCUUCCCCACCUUUUGUAACAUUCUUUCUUUCUUUCUUUCUUUCUUUCUUUCCCAUUUGUAACAUGCUUUCUUUCUUUCAUCUAUUCAUUCAUUCUUUCUUUCUUUCUUCCCCACCUUUUGUAACAUUCAUUCUUUCUAUCUUUCUUUCUUUCUUUCUUUCUCUACCCUUUCACCACCUUUUGUAACAUUAUUUCUUUCUUUCUUUCUUUCUUUCUUUCUCUCCAACCUUUUGCAACAUUCUUUCUUUCUUUCUUUCCUUCUUUCUUUCUUUCUCUACCCUUUCACCACCUUUUGUAACAUUCUUUCUUUCUUUAUUUAUUUCUUUCCCACCAUUUGUAACAUGCUUUCUUUCUUUCAUCUACUCAUUCAUUCAUUCUUUCUUUCUUUCCCACCUUUUGCAACAUUCUUUCUUUCUUUCAUUCUUUCUUUCCCACUGUUUUGUAACAUGCUUUCUUUCUUUCCUUCCAUCUUUCCUUCCAUCCUUCCUCCUUUCCUUCCUUCUUUCUUUCUAUCUUUCUUUCUUUCUCUACCCUUUCACCACCUUUUGCAACAUUCUUUCUUUUUUCUUUCUUUCCCACCAUUUGUAACAUGCUUUUCUUCUUUCUUUCUUUCUUUCUUUCUUUCUAUCUUUCUCUACCCUUUCACCACCUUUUGCAAUAUUCUUUCCUUCUUUCUUUCUUUCUUUCUCACAUUAACUAAUGCACUAAAUACUAAAUGUUUGUAUGUAAACCAGGACGUAAUAUUAAAAACCUAAUGUUAAUUAAAGAUUAAGCACGAGUACAUGGCAUGUAAAUAAAGAUAAAUGUAUUCCAUAUUAAUAAAAAUAUCAAUAUAUUAAGA